rnacentral:misc_RNA from 1 species
UAGAGGAAGUAAAAGUCGUAACAAGGUUUCCGUAGGUGAACCUGCGGAAGGAUCAUUAUUGAAAUAAACCUGAUGGGUUGCUGCUGGCUCUCUAGGGAGCAUGUGCACACUUGUCAUCUUUAUAUCUCCACCUGUGCACCUUUUGUAGAUCUGGAUAUCUUUCUGAAUGCCUGGCGUUCAGGUUUGAGGAUUGACUUUUGUCUUUCCUUACAUUUCCAGGCCUAUGUUUUCUUCACAUACACCAUUUAUGUUAUAGAAUGUAAUGAAAUGGGCCUCUGUGCCUACAAACUUUAUACAACUUUCAGCAACGGAUCUCUUGGCUCUCGCAUCGAUGAAGAACGCAGCGAAAUGCGAUAAGUAAUGUGAAUUGCAGAAUUCAGUGAAUCAUCGAAUCUUUGAACGCACCUUGCGCUCCUUGGUAUUCCGAGGAGCAUGCCUGUUUGAGUGUCAUUAAUAUAUCAACCUCCUCAGGMUUUUGCUUGUCGAGUGUUUGGAUGUGGGGGUCUUUUGCUGGUCUCUUUUGAGGUCGGCUCCCCUAAAAUGCAUUAGCGGAACAAUUUGUUGACCCGUUCAUUGGUGUGAUAACUAUCUACGCUUUUGACGUGAAACAGGUUCAGCUUCUAACAGUCCAUUUA